CCAGGAGGAAGGAGAAUAGAAAAAAAAAAAGAAAAAAAAAAAAGACUGGAUUUCUCUGGAACCCGGAGGAACACUCCCUUUGACAGAGAGCCCCAUAAGCUCAAGGCUUCUGAUCCCUUUCGGUGACUCGACGACCCGCGAUGGGUCUCUGUCAAAAAUCGUCCGUCCAGCCACGACGUGGUGACGCACCGAUCUCAUUCAAUUUCUCUCCUCACCGCGGUUCUACCUUCAGUCUUGGUUUGCUAGGCGAGGAAGAAGUAUCGAAGCUCGAAAGGUUUUGGUAUUCCGGCGACGAUUGGUUGUACAUGAGGUGAGAAGGUUGGUCCUCUCGUCAAGAUCUAUGUCCUGGUAUAGUUAUGAAUGAAUUGGUGUUUUGGGGCAAAACAAUUUCCUUUGCACUCAAAAAAAUCGGGAUUAUUUUUAAAUAACUUAGAGGUAGGGAUGUUACAAUUUACAAAUGGUAUCAGAGCGGGGAAAUGAUUUCUAAGGGAUAGGCUUUGGGUUGAAAUGGACUCGUGGUAUGGGUUUUCACAAUUUUGAGAGUAUGCAUGAUUGUUUGCUUUGUAUCAUUGUCCGUCAAGGUUUUUGGUUUUGAUAUAAACUAUUUGAAUUGAUUCAUUGAUACCAGAUUUAAGAGGUUGUUUUACUUUUACUCAAUUUAGACUCAACUCUUCAGGAGAACUCUUUGGCUUAGGUUUUUUUUAACUCUCUGUUCUAGCUCAACUUAGUUUCUGCUCUCAUCAUAUUGUUUUGCUGAUUUUGUAGUUGCUGAAGUUUUAUUUUUAGACAUUUGGUUCUUCGAUAUUCUUACUGUUGGGUGCAAAACAAAAAUCCAUGGUGGAGGGAACGCCCCCAGUAAGACGUUAUUUUAUAGGACUAACUUCAGGCCCUGCAUGUUUGUCAUAUAAUUGAGAUGUUAUAUCAGUGUUCUGUUAUUGCUCCACUGUGCUAUUAUUUGGUUGGUUUUGGGUGCUGUGAUGAAGGCUUGAUUAUUUGCUUCUAUCAUAUAUGGGUGCCUAAAGCAAUACUGCUAGUUGCUUAUUUUCUUCCAUCUCUCUGGAUGUGUCUUAAGUAUUUUGAUAUUGGGCUGAUGUGAAGUACACAAUGAUUCUAGACUGCAGGUAAAUGUUCUUGUUUAUAAUCGAGUAUUAUAGUAUUCUGAUAUGAACUGCAUCAAUCUUGGAUAUUCUGUAUUACUUGCCCUAUUUCAAGAUGCGGCAUUUGAGUCUUGGGAAAUUUAAUUUUUGUGGAACUACAUGGUAGUAAUAAUAUGCAACAGGAAAUGCCAAGGAUGCAUUGGAGUUACUAAAACUCUGUUGAUCAUGUAGAAAAGUUUUUCAAUUAGUCGGAAUUGACUGUUCCUCGAAGGUGCUUGUUCACCUCACUGAUGUAUAUAGGAUAGUCUUUAUUUGUUAGUUUUUGAAAGUUUACGAUGUUGCCUCUUGCGCAUUGUAGCCAUAUCAAUGUAUGAACUUUGAGAAUUUGUAUAUGUAAACUAUAUCUAAUGAGUCAGUACAUGAAAGUCUGAGGGGAUGCAACAAUCUACUGAAAGCAGGUGUAUUCAGGUAAAUUCUUCCUCUUUGCUUCUAUACCACUUUCACAGUAGUUGGUAUGUUUUUUUUUUACAUUUAUACCUUGAUUGAAAUUACCUUGUUUGGACUUCUGCAUUUGCAUACAUGAUUAUGCUUUAUGAAUUAGUUAACUUCUUUUCAUUUACUGAACAUUGCCUACAUGUGUUUGAAAUUUUCAAAUCAUGAUGACUUCAUUGAAAGGAAAUUAUAGAUGACACGCAUGACAGUGUGUGAUGUGAAUGAAAGCCAACAAGUUAAUUGUCCAAUGAAUUUAAUCCGGUUAGGCCCAGGAUAAAAUUAAGGAGGGAUAGAGUUCCCUUGGGUGAAAGACCCUAAACCCGAUUGGGGUUUGUGGAUUCGAGUGGAUAAUUAAGUAGGGAUUGUGCCUCCCUAGAGUGAAAGACUUAAAACCCAAUCGGGAAUCCGCUUAGUUCGGGGUGUCCUCGGUGGCCUUAAUCUGAGGUUCUGCUUAGUUCGGGGUGUCCUGGGUGGCCUUAAUAUGAGGUUCCACUUAGUUCGGGGUAUCCUUGGUGGCCUUAAUCUGAGGUAGUACGUGGUGUUCUCGAUGACCAUAAUUCGAGAGGUAUUGGGCCUAACCAGUGAUAGAGAAAAUGGAAAGAAAAUAUCAUUGAUACCCACUAUCUAUGUACGAAGUCAUGGGUUCGAGUCACCAUAGGGGCAUGAGUGAAACCUUUGAUCCUCUUUUUUUUAAAGAAAAAGAAGAAAAUAUCAUUGAUAAAUUUGAAAAGGGUUAUGGUGAAUGACAAGCGUAUUUAACAUGAUCUUGUUUAGUUAAACAAAUUUUCUUGAUAUGUAAAUGUUUGCUACAGUUGCAAGGAAGACCAGUAUGGUCAUAUAUAUGGCUUAAUCAAUAUUGCAAGACCAGAUAUGGUCAGUAUUGCAAGACCCGA